CUGCUCGCCAGGGCUCAGUCCUCUGCUUGUGGUCCUGAUCUACCUGCAUGAGCAAGAGAAUCUGGACUGGUUGGGGGUGUCCUGUCCAAGUGGACAACAGGACUCCACGGUUUUCAGUACAACA